rnacentral:lncRNA from 1 species
UAGGAUUUAGAUAGUUAGUAUAAAGAUUAAGGGAAGGGAAGAGUUAAAAGAUGAAAAUAUAACUAGAAGGAGGCUUAUUGGGAAGGAUGAAAGUAAGGCAUGGUUGGAUGAAGGCAAGGGGUGAAGAACUUCAUCCCUAUUGGUCGAAUACUAUGCCCAAUGGGCUUUGAGGAGGCUGCCCGAGGCCAUAUUAGGAAUUAGGGUUCCUC